GUUUCUUUGGAGAGAUCUGAUAAAAUUGGAACGAUACAAAGAAGAUUAGUAUGGCCCCUGGGCAAGGAUGACACAUAUAAAUGGAGAAAUUGUAAAUUCUA
rnacentral:snRNA from 1 species